GAUGAACGCUGGCGGCGUGCCUAAUACAUGCAAGUCGAGCGAACAGACGAGGAGCUUGCUCCUCUGACGUUAGCGGCGGACGGGUGAGUAACACGUGGAUAACCUACCUAUAAGACUGGGAUAACUUCGGGAAACCGGAGCUAAUACCGGAUAAUAUAUUGAACCGCAUGGUUCAAUAGUGAAAGACGGUUUUGCUGUCACUUAUAGAUGGUCCGCGCCGCAUUAGCUAGUUGGUAAGGUAACGGCUUACCAAGGCAAAGAUGCGUAGCCGACCUGAGAGGGUGAUCGGCCACACUGGAACUGAGACACGGUCCAGACUCCUACGGGAGGCAGCAGUAGGGAAUCUUCCGCAAAGGGCGAAAGCCUGACGGAGCAACGCCGCGUGAGUGAUGAAGGUCUUCGGAUCGUAAAACUCUGUUAUUAGGGAAGAACAAAUGUGUAAGUAACUAUGCACGUCUUGACGGUACCUAAUCAGAAAGCCACGGCUAACUACGUG
rnacentral:rRNA from 1 species